GUUAUGGUAGUUUAAUAAAACACUAGUCUGUGACACUAAAAAUGGAAACUACUCCCCAUAACC
rnacentral:tRNA from 1 species